rnacentral:rRNA from 1 species
AGCGAACGCUGGCGGCAGGCUUAACACAUGCAAGUCGAGCGGGCACUUUCGGGUGUCAGCGGCGGACGGGUGAGUAACGCGUGGGAACGUGCCCUCUGGUUCGGAAUAACUCAGGGAAACUUGAGCUAAUACCGGAUACGCCCUUUUGGGGAAAGGCUUGCUGCCGGAGGAUCGGCCCGCGUCUGAUUAGCUAGUUGGUGAGGUAACGGCUCACCAAGGCGACGAUCAGCAGCUGGUCUGAGAGGAUGAUCAGCCACACUGGGACUGAGACACGGCCCAGACUCCUACGGGAGGCAGCAGUGGGGAAUAUUGGACAAUGGGCGCAAGCCUGAUCCAGCCAUGCCGCGUGAGUGAUGAAGGCCUUAGGGUUGUAAAGCUCUUUUAUCCGGGACGAUAAUGACGGUACCGGAGGAAUAAGCCCCGGCUAACUUCGUG